rnacentral:lncRNA from 1 species
UAAGGAGGUUCGAGGGUAUAAAAAUUUCAGAAAAAAAUCAAACAUUUGUUUUUCAUUACAAAUUUUAUUUAUUUCCUUUUGUAGUUGUUACUUUAUCAUAUGGUACAAAAAUCAUUCAAAACAAUCAAUUCGUGGUGGCCCCAGAUGACUUUCAAAAUGUAUACAUCAUUGAAAAAGUUCCAAAUUAUCUCCCUUUGGUGGAAAAAUGUCACUUUUUGGCUCUAAAAUUGAAAUAUCUUUUUCAACUCAUCGGUGACCUAUCUUUUUUAAUAUAAUUUCCAUAUGAGCUGUACUUAAACUAAAUUAUUGUAAAAUUUUAGCGAUUUCUG